UACGGAGGGCGCUAGCGUUGUUCGGAAUUACUGGGCGUAAAGCGCUCGUAGGCGGCUUUGCAAGUUAGAGGUGAAAGCCUGGGGCUCAACUCCAGAACUGCCUUUAAAACUGCAUCGCUUGAAUCCAGGAGAGGUGAGUGGAAUUCCGAGUGUAGAGGUGAAAUUCGUAGAUAUUCGGAAGAACACCAGUGGCGAAGGCGGCUCACUGGACUGGUAUUGACGCUGAGGUGCGAAAGCGUGGGGAGCAAACAGG
rnacentral:rRNA from 1 species